UACGAAGGGGGCAAGCGUUGUUCGGAAUUACUGGGCGUAAAGGGCGCGUAGGCGGUGCGUUAAGUCAGGGGUGAAAUCCUGGAGCUCAACUCCAGAACUGCCUUUGAUACUGGCGAGCUUGAGUUCGGGAGAGGUGAGUGGAACUGCGAGUGUAGAGGUGAAAUUCGUAGAUAUUCGCAAGAACACCAGUGGCGAAGGCGGCUCACUGGCCAGAUACUGACGCUGAGGUGCGAAAGCGUGGGGAGCAAACAGG
rnacentral:rRNA from 1 species